UACGGGGGGAGCAAGCGUUGUUCGGAUUUACUGGGCGUAAAGGGCGCGUAGGCGGCGUGGUAAGUCACUUGUGAAAUCUCCGGGCUUAACUCGGAACGGUCAAGUGAUACUGCUGUGCUAGAGUGCGGAAGGGGCAACUGGAAUUCUCGGUGUAGCGGUGAAAUGCGUAGAUAUCGAGAGGAACACCUGCGGCGAAGGCGGGUAGCUGGGCCGACACUGACGCUGAGGCGCGAAAGCCAGGGGAGCGAACGGG
rnacentral:rRNA from 1 species